GAUGAACGCUGGCGGCGUGCCUAAUACAUGCAAGUCGAACGAAACUUCUUUAUCACCGAGUGCUUGCACUCACCGAUAAAGAGUUGAGUGGCGAACGGAUGAGUAACACGUGGGCAACCUGCCCAAAAGAGGGGGAUAACACUUGGAAACAGGUGCUAAUACCGCAUAACCAUAGUUACCGCAUGGUAACUAUGUAAAAGGUGGCUAUACUACCGCUUUUGGAUGGGCCCGCGGCGCAUUAGCUAGUUGGUAGGGUAAAGGCUUACCAAGGCAAUGAUGCGUAGCCGAAUUGAGAGGUUGAUCGGCCACAUUGGGACUGAGACACGGCCCAAACUCCUACGGGAGGCAGCAGUAGGGAAUCUUCCACAAUGGGCGAAAGCCUGAUGGAGCAACGCCGCGUGGGUGAAGAAGGUCUUCGGAUCGUAAAACCCUGUUGUUAGAGAAGAAAGUGCGUGAGAGUAACUGUUCACGUUUCGACGGUAUCUAACCAGAAAGCCACGGCUAACUACGUG
rnacentral:rRNA from 1 species